rnacentral:rRNA from 1 species
UAGGGAAUCUUCGGCAAUGGACGAAAGUCUGACCGAGCAACGCCGCGUGAGUGAAGAAGGUUUUCGGAUCGUAAAACUCUGUUGUUAGAGAAGAACAAGGACGUUAGUAACUGAACGUCCCCUGACGGUAUCUAACCAGAAAGCCACUGCUAACUACGUGCCAGCAGCCGCGGUAAUACGUAGGUGGCAAGCGUUGUCCGGAUUUAUUGGGCGUAAAGCGAGCGCAGGCGGUUUCUUAAGUCUGAUGUGAAAGCCCCCGGCUCAACCGGGGAGGGUCAUUGGAAACUGGGAGACUUGAGUGCAGAAGAGGAGAGUGGAAUUCCAUGUGUAGCGGUGAAAUGCGUAGAUAUAUGGAGGAACGCCAGUGGCGAAGGCGGCUCUCUGGUCUGUAACUGACGCUGAGGCUCGAAAGCGUGGGGAGCAAACAGG